rnacentral:rRNA from 1 species
GAUGAACGCUGGCGGCGUGCCUAAUACAUGCAAGUCGAGCGAACAGAUGAGGAGCUUGCUCCUCUGACGUUAGCGGCGGACGGGUGAGUAACACGUGGAUAACCUACCUAUAAGACUGGGAAAACUUCGGGAAACCGGCGCUAAUACCGGAUAAUAUAUUGAACCGCAUGGUUCAAUAGUGAAAGACGGUUUUGCUGGCACUUAUCGAUGGAUCCGCGCCGCAUUAGAUAGUUGGUAAGUUCACGGCUUACCAAGGCAACGAUGCGUAGCCGACCUGUGAGGGUGAUCGGCCACCCGGGAACUGAGACACGGUCCAGACUCCUACGGGAGGCAGCAGUAGGGAACCUUCCGCAAUGGGCGAAAGCCUGACGGAGCAACGCCGCGUGAGUGAUGAAGGUCUUCGGAUCGUAAAACUCUGUUAUGAGGGAAGAACAAAUGUGUAAGUAACUAUGCACGUCUUGACGGUACCUAAUCAGAAAGCCACGGCUAACUACGUG